rnacentral:rRNA from 1 species
AUUGAACGCUGGCGGCAGGCCUAACACAUGCAAGUCGAGCGGUAGAGAGGUGCUUGCAUCUCUUGAGAGCGGCGGACGGGUGAGUAAUGCCUAGGAAUCUGCCUGGUGGUGGGGGAUAACGUUCGGAAACGGACGCUAAUACCGCAUACGUCCUACGGGAGAAAGCGGGGGGAUCUUCGGACCUCGCGCCAUUAGAUGAGCCUAGGUCGGAUUAGCUAGUUGGUGAGGUAAUGGCUCACCAAGGCGACGAUCCGUAACUGGUCUGAGAGGAUGAUCAGUCACACUGGAACUGAGACACGGUCCAGACUCCUACGGAGGCAGCAGUGGGGAAUAUUGGACAAUGGGCGAAAGACCUGAUCCAGCCAUGCCGCGUGUGUGAAGAAGGUCUUCGGAUUGUAAGCACUUUAAGUUGGGUAGGAAGGGCGAGUAAGUUAA